GGCUAUGAGAGGACGCAUUUGUGGAAUCCCAUGCACGCAACGGACGGAUCGAUUGUUUGAACGGGCGCAAGGAAAGAGAUCUGGGCCUGCUUGAGGGGGUGAGCUGACAUGGGAGACCCGAGCUGCUGUUCAUUCAGGAGCCAAAUUGAAGAUCAAAUUCAGGUUAGUAAAAAAGGGCAGUCUUUUUGUUAUUGGUGUACCAUUUUGUAUAUUGUCAACUGUACGCUCCUUGCGAUACUAAAAACUAUAUGUAAUGUAGGGAUUUGUUUCACCAUCAUCAGAAAAACUCCUAGACAUGCCUCCUAAAAGACAUGUCUUUUAUGAUAGUUCUGGAUCUGAAUGAGACCCUUUUAUACUCAGAUUGGAAGGUGAUCUUGUGUUUUCUGCGAA